AAGAGAGAAAAAAGUGAUUUCCCAAAGCUGUCAAAACCCUAAACUCGACCUUCAACAACAACUGAUCAAGGAUGUCUAUUCCGAGUAAGAAAGCCUCUAUUCCAUUGACCAAAUCAAAGGAUGAAAAGGUGUUCCUUUGCCGUCUUGUGGAAGGAAGAAAUCAGAAUGGUGUUCUGAAAAUUCCCUCUGCAUUUGCUGCCUUUUUUGCUUCACUGAACUCGAAUAUUGUUGGCCUGCAUUUACCUUUUAAUAAGACAUGGCUUGGUCGUUACGUUAGUGACUCUGA